GUAUUCCAUUCAUUUUAAUGCUUGCAAGUGCUAAAUAAGCUACCAUGGCUCCAAAGAAAUCUCCUAGUGCCAAGCCUUUGGUAAAGAAGGUGAGAAGUAUGAUUGAAUUUAAGAAAAACAUCAUUGAACAUAAUGAAAGUGGCGUACGUGUGGGGCCAACUGGCCAGGAUGUAUAACAAAUCCCGUACAACCAUAUCUUCCAUCAUAGCCAAGAAAAAGGAAAUCAAGGAAGCUGUUGUUGCAAAGGGGGUAAAUAGGCUGACAAAAAUGAGAUCACCAUUACUCGAAGAUGUUGAGAAGUUAUUAUUGGUGUGGAUAAAUGAGAAACAAUUAGCAGGAGAUAGUCUUAUGACCAAAAGCGGCUGAAAAAUAUAUGCAGGAAUUCAUAGAGGCUGAAGGACUGAAAACUGAGCAAGUGUUCAGUUGUGACGAAACAGGCCUCUUUUGGAAGAAAAUGCCAAAGAGGACCUACAUUACUCGGGAAGAAAGGGCACUGCCAGAACACAAGCCUAUGAAAGACAGGCUGACGCUCAUGUUCUGUGCUAAUGCUAGUGGGGAUUUCAAAGUGAAGCCAUUACUAGUGUACCAUUCUGAAAAUCCCAGUGUGUUAAAGAAAAACAAUGUUUUGAAGAGUAAAUUGUGUGUUUGGGAGAUCUAAUAAUAAGGCAUGGGUCACGAGGGAAAUUUUUGUCGAGUGGUUCAAUGUGUUUGGCCCUAGUGUGAAGAAUUACCUCCUGGAAAAGAAAUUGGAUCAAGUGCCUCCUAGUAAUAGACAGUGCACCUGCUCAUCCUCCAAACUUGGAUGGCAUAAUUCUGAAGGAGUUUGGGUUCAUCACAGUAAAGUUCUUGCCCCCCGAAUACCACUCCUCUCCUCCAGCCCAUGGACCAGCAGGUCAUUUCAAACUACACCAAAGCAAUGUUUGAAAGGUGCUUUAAUGUGACCUCAGACACUCGCUUGACCUAAGAGAUUUUUGAAAAGAACACUUCAGUAUUCUCCAUUGCAUAAGCCUUAUAGGUAAGGCUUGGGAGGGAGUGACUACCAGGACUUGGAGCUCUGCUUGGAGAAAUUUGUGGCCAGAUUGUCCACAAGAGGGAUUUUGAAGGGCUUGUGGCUGACCCUGAUGAGCCUAUGUAAGUUGUGAACUCUAUUGUUGCAUUGGGAAGUUCCAUGGGGUUGGAUAUGAGUUUGGAGGAUGUGGAAGAGUUGGUGGAGGACCACAAUGAAGAGCUAACCACUGAGGAGCUGCAAGAGCUUCAACAGAUUGCAGCUCAGAAUCUUGCUGCAGAGGAGGAGGAAGAGAGAUAGAAGAAGUUGCCUUCUUCAGAAAUUAAGGAGACUUUUGAAAUGUAGGGUAGGAUGGAAAGAUUUAUGGAGAAACAUCACCCUGAGAAGGAUGUUGCAAGCCAUAUCAGCAACUUGUACAGUGACAGAGUCUUGGCCCAUUUUAGGGAAGUUUUAAAGAGAUGCCAGAAACAGAGCUCUCUGGACAGUUUUUUUGCGAGACAGGACUCCAGCGACUCUCAAGCUGGUCCUAGUGGCAUUAAGAAACAAAGAGAAGAGAAGUAACCCCAGAAAAGCACUUGGUACCCGAGGUGUUGAUGGAAGGGGAUUCCCCUUCCAAACAGAAAUUCAAUCUCUCCUCCAGUCUUCCAUACACUAAGAAGAAUCACCAAUAAAGGUAAGUAUUAUGCUGUUAAUGUUUCAUUCAUCAUGUCCCAUUGUAUUGUUUAUGUACUACAUCUAUAUUUCAUGUAAAAAAUUUUUUUUGUUUUAAUACAUCUGGGUGUCAGGAACGGAUUAAUUGUAUUUACAUUAUUUCUUGUGGGGAAAAUUGAUUCGAAAAUCUUCUAUUUCGAUAAUAGCUCUACUUCCAGGAACGGAUUAUGGACGAUAAUUGAGGGACCACUGUACCUUGAAAUUGAGCUCAAAGUAGCGGAAAUGUUCGAUUUUUGUCGAUGUUCAAUGAACUUUGUUUUCCUACAUCACUGCAGGAUCACCUGAUUCAAAAAACUGUCCCACUGUACAUUCACCAGAAAGGAUUUCAUACCUGAAUAAGUGCAUUCAUCCUGAAAAAACAUCGCCAAACCUCCUAGAUAUGUCUGUAGCAGCCGCCUUGUUGAAUUCAGCCCAAUGACGUCGCGCAUGUGCAAUGAGACUCCCACCACCCACAGCCAUGGCAAUAGCGCCGGCCGCUACUUCCAUGGUACCGUCGAAAUAGUCACUCCAUUAUUCAUUUUAUAAAUUUAGUAUUUAGUCCUGAACUUUUAUGUACAUACUGUCACGUGAUCUUGCAAUCUGCUCAGUUUUUAAGUAUUCUGUGUUUACUUCAAAAUUUUAUAUAUUCUUAAACUGAAUGACAAUGAAUUGCAUGAUUUGUAAAAUAUUGUUCUGCACAUUUGUAGAAUCUGCACACAACUAGGUUAGGCUAGUAAAGAUUCAAUAUGGUGUAAUUAAUCACACUUUACCUUACUUCACUUGGAUAAAGAUUUUAGACAAAUGAUGUAAGGAAGGGUAAUCUUGCCUCGCCUAACUUGGUAAUGUGGUGAUGUAAAUGAUGUAGCAAACAUUAUAUUUCAAAAUAAUGUAAUUUGUUAUACAUUAGGGAAAUGCCCCCAGACAGAUAUUGGAUACAAAAUGUAGAAAGAAAUUAUCUUAGAUAUUAAAAAUUGAAUUACA